GCCGGGGUGGCGGAACUGGUAGACGCGCCAGACUCAAAAUCUGGUACAGGAAACUGUGUGGGAGUUCGAUUCUCCCUCCCGGCACCA
rnacentral:tRNA from 1 species